rnacentral:SRP_RNA from 1 species
GCUGAGCUUGGUAACUCAAGCUUGUAACUCAAGUGAGGGCAUUAAGGUGAUGUGAACAAAACUAAAACAAAUGGUGAAGUCUCAUGUGGGUGUUAUAUGGACAAGCAUAGAUACUGGCUUGUUGUUUAGCAGUAGGAAGAGUUUGGUUUAGAAGAUGCUCAUGUGUAGCACAUACCUCUUGCUGUCUUCACAGAGCAGCGGCACUUCCUCUUGCUCUCUCAAAGACCACGUUGCUAACAAGUCCAAAAUCCAAUCCAAAAUGUACUUCCCAUAGUUUGGACCAUCACCUUU